AGUGAACGCUGGCGGUAGGCCUAACACAUGCAAGUCGAACGGCAGCACAGUAAGAGCUUGCUCUUACGGGUGGCGAGUGGCGGACAGGUGAGGAAUACAUCGGAAUCUACUUUUUCGUGGGGGAUAAUGUAGGGAAACUUACGCUAAUACCGCAUACGACCUACGGGUGAAAGCAGGGGAUCUUCGGACCUUGCGCGAUUGAAUGAGCCGAUGUCGGAUUAGCUAGUUGGCGGGGUAAAGGCCCACCAAGGCGACGAUCCGUAGCUGGUCUGAGAGGAUGAUCAGCCACACUGGAACUGAGACACGGUCCAGACUCCUACGGGAGGCGGCAGUGGGGAAUAUUGGACAAUGGGCGCAAGCCUGAUCCAGCCAUACCGCGUGGGUGAAGAAGGCCUUCGGGUUGUAAAGCCCUUUUGUUGGGAAAGAAAAGCAGCAGGUUAAUACCCCGCUGUUCUGACGGUACCCAAAGAAUAAGCACCGGCUAACUUCGUG
rnacentral:rRNA from 1 species